CACUGCUAAUAUAACCGGCAGAAACUAACCCAAUUAACUGCAAACUGGACUUUCUUUCUGGACGUAAGCUAUACGAGCUACGCAAUAACGCUUUCCAAAUAGUUUGCGGCGUUAAGCCAUCAACAGCGUAUAGACCGCGCUGGUGCACUGCACUGCGAGAUUUUGGGAGGCUAUAUCGGAAGUUUUUAGCCAUACGGCAGCCAUGCAGACGAUUUCAGAGAAUUGGAGAUCUGUAGUGUUUAUAAGUGUUCUUCUUCUCUCAACUGCCGGUGUACAAGGCACUGUGGAUGAGCUGUACAGUGACACCAUGGACGAUAUUAUGAUUCAGGCGGGAUUCAGCCUGUCUAACAACGUCCACAACUAUCCACCCGUUCCAAACUGUACGCUUUUGCCACAGGGCGCGGCUGGGAGCUACCAUCACCAGGGUUUGUACUUAAAUUUGGAAGGUCAACCGCAACUCCAAGUGGAGAAAGGACACAUCCAACCGAGUCCAGUUUUCGCAUUGCACUGCAGCGCGCACAUACUGUGGCCGACAAUAACCAUCACCCGUACGUCGACUUCUACGGAAACAUACACAACAACAUCCACUAGUACUACAACCAGUACGUCUACGACCACCAUCACAGACACGUCCACAUACACAACCACCGUUACCAGCGGCUAGUCGACAACGGACACACAUUAUUAUAAUGGUGACACUAUAGCCACCCACCCCGUUAUUUUUAGCCACUCCAUUUCCGCACCCCGUUAAUUAUAGGCAUCCUUUUUUUAGUUAUUUAAUUAAAUUACUGUUUAGACACCCCAUUUUUUAUAGGCCCAAGACACCCCUUCAUUCUAUAUUACUUACUUUAUAGUCAGUACUCCAGGUGUUUCUGUUUAUUUAGCACUAAGCCAGGGUGGCUAUAAAGGACGGGUUGCGAAGGGGUGACUAUAAAAAACGGGGGUGAAAAUGGUUGGCUGUAGUGAUUUCCUUAUUGUAAAUCCUGCGACCAUGGGCACACGUUUUUAUGGCUGUCUAUGUUAUGUUUGGAGACGUAAAAAACGCCAUACCUCUUCCCGAAUAAUUUUUUUUUUAUCAGUGCUUAUUCGUCUUUCGCACUUUUCUUCUUUGUGGAAAGAGUUGUGUUUGCAAUUUGUAGUGUGAUUGUCAGACGGGGUAACGGUAACAAAUAGCCGCUAAGGCAACAAAAUAAGAGCAUUUCAACAGUACAAAGCCCGAUUUGGUAAAAUAAAUGUUCGAUCGGA